rnacentral:rRNA from 1 species
CCUACGGGGGGCAGCAGUGGGGAAUAUUGGACAAUGGGGGCAACCCCGAUCCAGCCAUGCCGCGUGUGUGAAGAAGGCCCUCGGGUUGUAAAGCACUUUCAGUGAGGAAGAACGCCUGGUGGUUAAUACCCAUCAGGAAAGACAUCACUCACAGAAGAAGCACCGGCUAACUCCGUGCCAGCAGCCGCGGUAAUACGGAGGGUGCGAGCGUUAAUCGGAAUUACUGGGCGUAAAGCGCGCGUAGGUGGCUUGAUAAGCCGGUUGUGAAAGCCCCGGGCUCAACCUGGGAACGGCAUCCGGAACUGUCAAGCUAGAGUGCAGGAGAGGAAGGUAGAAUUCCCGGUGUAGCGGUGAAAUGCGUAGAGAUCGGGAGGAAUACCAGUGGCGAAGGCGGCCUUCUGGACUGACACUGACACUGAGGUGCGAAAGCGUGGGUAGCAAACAGGAUUAGAUACCCUUGUAGUC